rnacentral:rRNA from 1 species
CGCUGGCGGCGUGCCUAAUACAUGCAAGUCGAGCGAAUGAUUAGAGAAGCUUGCUUCUCUCUGAUUUAGCGGCGGACGGGUGAGUAACACGUGGGUAACCUACCCUAUAGACUGGGAUAACUUCGGGAAACCGGAGCUAAUACCGGAUAAUACUUCGAAACACAUGUUUUUGAAGUUGAAAGAUGGUUUCGGCUAUCACUAUAGGAUGGACCCGCGGCGCAUUAGCUAGUUGGUGAGGUAACGGCUCACCAAGGCAACGAUGCGUAGCCGACCUGAGAGGGUGAUCGGCCACACUGGGACUGAGACACGGCCCAGACUCCUACGGGAGGCAGCAGUAGGGAAUCUUCCACAAUGGACGAAAGUCUGAUGGAGCAACGCCCGCGUGAGUGAAGAAGGAUUUCGGUUCGUAAAACUCUGUUGCAAGGGAAGAACAAGUAGCGUAGUAACUGGCGUUACCUUGACGGUACCUUGUUAGAAAGCCACGGCUAACUACGUGCCAGCCGCCGC